ACCUCCUUUCCCUUGCAUUUCCAAUACCAUACCUGGCCUUGGUCCCCCUCCCUCUCAACUUUGUUAUAAUAAUUAGGGGGUUAUCUUAAAAAUAUUUGAUGUUCUAGAGUUAUAUCUUUGAUAUAUAUAUAUAUUUAUUUAUUUCAUUUUCGAAAAAGGGGGCGGUGGAUGGAUUCAUAUUGUCUCUGAGGAAUGGGAAGAGACACUUUUAGAGGGGACAACAUGAGAAGACAGACAGGGUUAACCGGUCUUCCGUAUGACAGCU